GAUGAACGCUGGCGGCGUGCCUAAUACAUGCAAGUCGAGCGAACGGACGAGAAGCUUGCUUCUCUGAUUUUAGCGGCGGACGGGUGAGUAACACGUGGAUAACCUACCUAUAAUACUGGGAUAACUUCGGGAAACCGUAGCUAAUACCGGAUAAUAUUUUGAACCGCAUGGUUCAAAAGUGAAAGACGGUCUUGUUGUCACUUAUAGAUGGAUCCGCGCUGCAUUAGCUAGUUGGUAAGGUAACGGCUUAACAAGGCAACGAUGCAUAGCCGACCUGAGAGGGUGAUCGGCCACACUGGAACUGAGACACGGUCCAGACUCCUACGGGAGGCAGCAGUAGGGAAUCUUCCGCAAUGGGCGAAAGCCUGACGGAGCAACGCCGCGUGAGUGAUGAAGGUCUUCGGAUCGUAAAACUCUGUUAUUAGGGAAGAACAUAUGUGUAAGUAACUGUGCACAUCUUGACGGUACCUAAUCAGAAAGCCACGGCUAACUACGUG
rnacentral:rRNA from 1 species